CUCUAAACUAAUCCUAAGCCCCUCAGAACGCUCUCUAUCUCAAUCAAUUCGUCUUGUCCUUUAGGACUUUAUUUUCUCGUUUAACAAUGGUGGAUGCCGAACAAGUUCAGUUAAUAUUAGGAGUUAUUGGGAAUAUUACAAAUUUUGGAAUGUUAGCUUAUCAUAUACCUAGGUAUAUCAAGGUUGUGAAUGACGGAUCCGUGGGUAACAUGCAGCCGGAUUUUCCCCUAGUCAAUCUAUUGUAUUGUGCAAUUUGUUUUAUGUACGGCCUUCAUGAUGACACAAUACUUCUUUGCAUCGUCCAUGCCCAGGGGCUUGUAUUUCAUGGUGCUUGCUUGAUCAUCUACCUACUUAACUGUGAAGGCCCGAAAUCAAGAAAAAUAUAUAUAAAGGUGUGCUUAUUUGCAGUUGCUGAUAUAAUUGCGAUGU